GCAUUGGUGGUGUAGUGGUAACAUUGGGUCUUCCCAUGGCGUGAUCCCAGAUUACGUAAGGUGGCCCAGCGCCGGGUUCGAUUCCCGGCCAAUGCA